GGGCCUGUAGCUCAUCUGGCUAGAGCGCUCCCCUUGCACGGGAGAGGUGGCAGGUUCGAGUCCUGUCAGGUCCACAA
rnacentral:tRNA from 1 species